AACUGUUCCCUGUAAAAGAUUGUGACAUCAUCACUAGAUAAGCUAAAUAACGGUUAGAUUUUGUUCAUUUGCAUACUGCAGCCCCAUUGGCCCUGGGGUGGCUUUAAUUUAUUCUACAUGCAAAUCAAAUACAAGAUAUGAAAAGGUCCAUAUUACUUCACAAACUCAUUCCAGCUUAUUACCAAAACCUACAAAACUGUAAAUAUCAAGCAGAGGUACAGCAUUUUGGCAACUGACUUGGUAAUUUUAGUGAACGGCACAUCUGCAGAUAAUUUUAAUCACAAUUUGAAAUUUCAUCUCCAUAGUCUCUUUUUUACACUGGCAUGAAAAUUUGAAGUUGAAUGGGGCACAGAUAUUAACUGAAAGGAAUAUUUCAGACUUCUUCCAACAAUGGCCUAUUCCAUUCCAUCAACAUUAUAUAUACCGACAAUCCCCUUUGGAGGAUUGAAGAUAUAGUUAUUUCAAGUUUACAGUUUACCUUCUGGAAGAACAGCAGGAAAAGAAGAGAAAGGAGACAGCAAUCACAGCUCCAACAUUUUUUAGCCUGUGCUGGCACGAAAAACAAAAAUAGAGGAAGUAUUUUCAGGCAAAUAAGAGGAAAGGAUCCAGAAAGAACAGCACACGAAGCUCCAAAAAUCCAGGAUUUGCUUAUGUUUAUGCAACCCAGGAGAGAAGUUUAUUUUAUCACUUUACACCCCAAGCCACUUUCUUUGGAUUGUUUUUUUUCUUUAACAGUAACCAUAAUGUUUGCUAGUAGGAAGAUUCAAUAAAAGCAAAUGGCUUGAAGAGA